rnacentral:rRNA from 1 species
AGGUGAUCCAACCGCAGGUUCCCCUACGGUUACCUUGUUACGACUUCACCCCAGUCAUGAAUCACAAAGUGGUAAGCGCCCUCCCGAAGGUUAAGCUACCUACUUCUUUUGCAACCCACUCCCAUGGUGUGACGGGCGGUGUGUACAAGGCCCGGGAACGUAUUCACCGUGGCAUUCUGAUCCACGAUUACUAGCGAUUCCGACUUCAUGGAGUCGAGUUGCAGACUCCAAUCCGGACUACGACGCACUUUAUGAGGUCCGCUUGCUCUCGCGAGGUCGCUUCUCUUUGUAUGCGCCAUUGUAGCACGUGUGUAGCCCUGGUCGUAAGGGCCAUGAUGACUUGACGUCAUCCCCACCUUCCUCCAGUUUAUCACUGGCAGUCUCCUUUGAGUUCCCGGCCGGACCGCUGGCAACAAAGGAUAAGGGUUGCGCUCGUUGCGGGACUUAACCCAACAUUUCACAACACGAGCUGACGACAGCCAUGCAGCACCUGUCUCACGGUUCCCGAAGGCACAUUCUCAUCUCUGAAAACUUCCGUGGAUGUCAAGACCAGGUAAGGUUCUUCGCGUUGCAUCGAAUUAAACCACAUGCUCCACCGCUUGUGCGGGCCCCCGUCAAUUCAUUUGAGUUUUAACCUUGCGGCCGUACUCCCCAGGCGGUCGACUUAACGCGUUAGCUCCGGAAGCCACGCCUCAAGGGCACAACCUCCAAGUCGACAUCGUUUACGGCGUGGACUACCAGGGUAUCUAAUCCUGUUUGCUCCCCACGCUUUCGCACCUGAGCGUCAGUCUUCGUCCAGGGGGCCGCCUUCGCCACCGGUAUUCCUCCAGAUCUCUACGCAUUUCACCGCUACACCUGGAAUUCUACCCCCUCUACGAGACUCAAGCUUGCCAGUAUCAGAUGCAGUUCCCAGGUUGAGCCCGGGGAUUUCACAUCUGACUUAACAAACCGCCUGCGUGCGCUUUACGCCCAGUAAUUCCGAUUAACGCUUGCACCCUCCGUAUUACCGCGGCUGCUGGCACGGAGUUAGCCGGUGCUUCUUCUGCGGGUAACGUCAAUGAGCAAAGGUAUUAACUUUACUCCCUUCCUCCCCGCUGAAAGUACUUUACAACCCGAAGGCCUUCUUCAUACACGCGGCAUGGCUGCAUCAGGCUUGCGCCCAUUGUGCAAUAUUCCCCACUGCUGCCUCCCGUAGGAGUCUGGACCGUGUCUCAGUUCCAGUGUGGCUGGUCAUCCUCUCAGACCAGCUAGGGAUCGUCGCCUAGGUGAGCCGUUACCUCACCUACUAGCUAAUCCCAUCUGGGCACAUCCGAUGGUAAGAGGCCCGAAGGUCCCCCUCUUUGGUCUUGCGACGUUAUGCGGUAUUAGCUACCGUUUCCAGUAGUUAUCCCCCUCCAUCAGGCAGUUUCCCAGACAUUACUCACCCGUCCGCCACUCGUCAGCAAAGAAGCAAGCUUCUUCCUGUUACCGUUCGACUUGCAUGUGUUAGGCCUGCCGCCAGCGUUCAAUCUGAGCCAUGAUCAAACUCU